GUAAUUGGAAUCAUCCACUUCCAAGGUGUGAAGCUCUUUGUGGUGGGAAUAUAACUGCAAUGAAUGGCACCAUUUAUUCUCCUGGGUAUCCUGAUGAAUAUCCAAACUUUCAAGAUUGUUUUUGGCUUGUAAGAGUACCCCCUGGGAAUGGCAUCUACAUCAAUUUUACUGUCCUUCAAACAGAACCAAUAUAUGAUUUCAUUACUGUAUGGGAUGGACCAGACCAAAAUUCACCUCAGAUCGGUCAGUUCAGUGGCAAUACCGCUUUGGAAUCAGUCUACAGUACUUCAAAUCAGAUUCUAAUCAAAUUCCACAGUGAUUUCACAACAAGUGGCUUUUUUGUGCUCAGUUAUCACGCCUAUCAACUAAGGGUGUGCCAACCUCCACCACCUGUGCCCAAUGCUGAAAUUUUGAUGGAAGAUGAUGAAUUUGAAAUAGGUGAUAUUAUUAGGUAUCAGUGUCUUCCAGGAUUUACUUUAGUUGGUAAUGCAAUUCUGACGUGCAGAUUAGGAGAACGACUGCAGAUGGAUGGAGCACCUCCAGUUUGUCAAGUGCUCUGUCCUGCCAAUGAAUUACGGCUAGAUUCUACUGGAGUCAUAUUGAGCCCUGGAUAUCCUGACAGUUACCCAAAUCUUCAAAUGUGUGCAUGGAGCAUUUCAGUGGAAAAGGGUUAUAAUAUCACCAUGUUUGUAGAAUUCUUCCAGACAGAAAAGGAAUUUGAUGUUCUUCAGGUGUAUGAUGGACCAAAUAUUCAAAGUCCAGUGCUUAUUUCCCUCAGUGGGGAUUAUUCAUCUGCUUUUAAUAUAACAAGCAAUGGUCAUGAAGUAUUUCUUCAGUGGUCAGCAGAUCAUGGCAAUAACAAAAAAGGCUUCCGGAUAAGAUAUAUAGCUUUCUACUGUAGUACACCAGAAUCCCCACCUCAUGGAUAUAUUAUCAGUCAGACAGGUGGGCAGCUUAACAGUGUGGUCCGUUGGGCCUGUGAUCGAGGAUUCCGACUUGUUGGAAAAAGCAGUGCUGUGUGCAGAAAGUCUUCCUAUGGGUAUCAUGCAUGGGAUGCGCCAGUCCCUGCCUGUCAAGGUGAAGUAUAUUAUGCCAAAAUGAACAAAAACAUGAAUGUGAGAUUAGCACCAUUUAACGUUUUUAUUUGGAUCACUAACUUUUCUGAGAAUGGAAAUAUUCGGAAGCAUAUUGUGAACUCUUUUCAUAAAAACAAGGCAUAACAUUGCAGAAUGAUAAAUUCCAGGGGAAAGAAACAUACUGUUUUAUAAUUAUUCAUUAUUGUUAUGCAACUUAUAUGCCUUGACUUUUUCCCCUUGUAUACGUACUUUAUUCAUACAUCCUCCAUUUCAGUUACUUUGUUUUAAGACAAUUAUUGAAAGAGAGGAAGACUGAGUUAGUGUGAAGUCUGCAGAGAGGUAAUAGAGAAUAAGAAUGGGCAAGUACACUGAAGACUGAGUUUCACUCUUAGCAUCCAAAAUUUGCUCUCACAGCAACAAAUUUAAGAGAAAAAUGUAACCCACCACCUGGCUAUUUUUUUUCUUCAGUGGUACAGAUAACACAACAGAGAUAUCAGAGAUAUGUUUUUUAUUUUUAUUUGUAUUUUGUCAAAAGUCGAGGCACUGAGCAUUAUAUCAUGCUGCAAAAAGAAUAACAAGCUUGUUAAUCAAAAAAUUGCAUGUUUUAGAGUUUUUGAUUAAGACUUGUUUUUAUGGGAGGCUGAGGCCGGAGAAUGACUUGAACCCGGGAGGCGGAGGUUGCAGUGAGCUGAGAUUGCAACACUGCACUCCAGCUUGGGCAACAAGAACGAAACUCCAUCUCAAAAAACAAAAA
rnacentral:sRNA from 1 species